GGAGGAGAGUGAGGAAUAUUGGUCAAUGGGCGCGAGCCUGAACCAGCCAUCCCGCGUGCAGGAAGAAGGCCCUAUGGGUUGUAAACUGCUUUUGUGCCAGGAAUAAAUGUACCCUCGUGAGGGUAUUUGAAGGUACUGCCAGAAUAAGCACCGGCUAACUCCGUGCCAGCAGCCGCGGGUAAUACGGAGGGUGCAAGCGUUAUUCCUCGGAUUUAUUGGGUUUAAAGGGUGCGUAGGCGGUACCUUUUAAGUCAGAUGGUGAAAACUUGCAGACUUAACUGUAAGACUGCCAUUGUAAACUGGAAGUACUUGAGUUAUCUUGAAGAGAAGAGUGGAAUGUGUACGUGUAGCGGUGAAAUGCUUAGAUAUGUACACAGAACACCGAUUGCGAAGGCGAGCUUACUAUGGUCUGUACACUGACGCUCAGGCACGAAAGCGGUGGGGAUCGAACAGGAUUAGAUACCCUGGUAGUCCACGCCGUAAACGAUGAGUAACUCGCUGUUGGGGGGUUUCACAGCCCCUCAGCGGCUUAAGCUAAAGCGUUAAGUUACUCCACCUGGGGAGUACGGCUCGCAAGAGUUGAAACUCAAAGGAAUUGACGGGGGCCCGCACAAGCGGAGGAACAUGUGGUUUAAUUCGAUGCAUACGCGAGGAACCUUACCAACUGGGCUUAACAUGUGCUUUGACUGCUUGAUAGAUCAAGUUGGUUUCCUUCGCAAGAACAGAUGGUGACAAGGUGCUGCAUGGUUGUCGUCAGCUCGUGCCGUGAGGUGUCGGGUUAAGUCCCAGCAACGAGCGCAACCCUUAUCUUUAGUUGCCAGCGGGUAAUGCCGUUGGGCACUCUAGAGAAACUGCCAGCGUGACAGCUGUGAGGAAGGUGGGGAUGACGUCAAAUCAGCACGGCCCUUACGAGUCCAGGGCUACACACGUGUUACAAUGGACCGAUACAGAGGGCAGCUACUCCGUGAGGUGGAUUGCUAAUCUCCUCAAAGUCGGUUCUCCAGUUCCCGAUCGAAGUCUGCAACUCGACUUCGUGAAGUUGGAUUCGCUAGUAAUCGCGCAGUCAGCAAUGGCGCG
rnacentral:rRNA from 1 species